UAUGUACUCCCUCCGUUCAAAAAAGUUUGUCCCUUAAAUGAAUGUAUCUAACACUAACUUGGUGCUAGACAUAUCCAUUUGUGGGACAACCUUUUUUGGACGGAGAGAGUAUAUA
rfam:Triticum aestivum genome assembly, contig: Triticum_aestivum_CS42_TGACv1_scaffold_002323_1AL